rnacentral:rRNA from 1 species
UACGGGGGGGGCAAGCGUUGUUCGGAAUUACUGGGCGUAAAGGGCUCGGAGGUGGCCAACUAAGUCAGACGUGAAAUCCCUCGGCUUAACCGGGGAACUGCGUCUGAUACUGGAUGGCUUGAGUUUGGGAGAGGGACGCGGAAUUCCAGGUGUAGCGGUGAAAUGCGUAGAUAUCUGGAGGAACACCGGUGGCGAAGGCGGCGUCCUGGACCAACACUGACACUGAUGAGCGAAAGCCAGGGGAGCAAACGGG